rnacentral:rRNA from 1 species
AAGACCACAGGGAUUGCCCUAGUAACGGCGAGUGAAGCGGCAACAGCUCAAAUUUGAAAUCUGGCUCUUUCAGAGUCCGAGUUGUAAUUUGCAGAGGGCGCUUUGGCGUUGGCAGCGGUCCAAGUUCUUUGGAACAGGACGUCACAGAGGGUGAGAAUCCCGUACGUGGUCGCUAUCCUUCGCCGUGUAAAGCCCCUUCGACGAGUCGAGUUGUUUGGGAAUGCAGCUCUAAAUGGGAGGUAAAUUUCUUCUAAAGCUAAAUACUGGCCAGAGACCGAUAGCGCACAAGUAGAGUGAUCGAAAGAUGAAAAGCACUUUGGAAAGAGAGUCAAACAGCACGUGAAAUUGUUGAAAGGGAAGCGCUUGCAGCCAGACUUGCCUGUAGUUGCUUAUCCGGACUUUUGUCCGGUGCACUCUUCUAUAGGCAGGCCAGCAUCAGUUUGGGCGGUUAGAUAAAGGUCUCUGUCAUGUACCUCUCUUCGGAGAGGCCUUAUAGGGGAGACGACAUGUAACCAGCCUGGACUGAGGUCCGCGCAUCUGCUAGGAUGCUGGCGUAAUGGCUGUAAGCGGCCCGUCUUGAAACACGGACCAAGGAGUCUAACAUCUAUGCGAGUGUUUGGGUGUCAAGCCCAGACGCGUAAUGAAAGUGAACGGAGGUAAGAACCCUUUGGGUGCAUUAUCGACCGAUCCUGAUGUCUUCGGAAGGAUUUGAGUAAGAGCAUGGCUGUUGGGACCCGAAAGAUGGUGAACUAUGCUUGAAUAGGGUGAAGCCAGAGGAAACUCUGGUGGAGGCUCGCAGCGGUUCUGACGUGCAAAUCGAUCGUCAAAUUUGGGCAUAGGGGCGAAAGACUAAUCGAA